AUGGCUCAGGAUUAACGCUGGCGGCGUGCCUAAUACAUGCAAGUCGAAUGGUAGCAAUACCAUGGCGAACGGGUGAGUAACACGUAGGUAACCUGUCUUUAAGCCGAGGAUAACCAUUGGAAACGAUGGAUAAUACUGGAUAGGACAUUUGAAGGCAUCUUUAGAUGUUUAAAGAUUUAUCACUUAGAGAGGGGCCUGCGGCGCAUUAGCUAGUUGGUGAGGUGAAGGCUUACCAAGGCGAUGAUGCGUAGCCGGACUGAGAGGUUGAACGGCCACAAUGGAACUGAGAACGGUCCAUACUCCUACGGGAGGCAGCAGUAGGGAAUUUUCGGCAAUGGGCGGAAGCCUGACCGAGCAACGCCGCGUGAACGAAGAAGUAUUUCGGUAUGUAAAGUUCUUUUAUUAGGGACGAAAAGACAGAUUGACGGUACCUAAUGAAUAAGCUCCGGCUAACUACGUGCCAGCCGCGGC
rnacentral:rRNA from 1 species